rnacentral:rRNA from 1 species
GAUGAACGCUGGCGGCGUGCCUAAUACAUGCAAGUCGAGCGAACGGACGAGAAGCUUGCUUCUCUGAUGUUAGCGGCGGACGGGUGAGUAACACGUGGAUAACCUACCUAUAAGACUGGGAUAACUUCGGGAAACCGGAGCUAAUACCGGAUAAUAUUUUGAACCGCAUGGUUCAAAAGUGAAAGACGGUCUUGCUGUCACUUAUAGAUGGAUCCGCGCUGCAUUAGCUAGUUGGUAAGGUAACGGCUUACCAAGGCAACGAUGCAUAGCCGACCUGAGAGGGUGAUAGGCCACACUGAAACUGAGAACAGGUCCAGAAUCCUACGGGAGGCAGCAGUAGGGAAUCUUCCGCAAUGGGCGAAAGCCGGACGGAGCAACGCCGCGUGAGGGAUGAAGGUCUUCGGAUCGUAAAACUCUGUAUUAGGGAAGAACAUAUGUGUAAGUAACUGUGCACAUCUUGACGGUACCUAAUCAGAAAGCCACGGCUAACUACGUG